UACGUAGGGCGCAAGCGUUGUCCGGAAUUAUUGGGCGUAAAGAGCUCGUAGGCGGCUCGUCACGUCGGAUGUGAAAGCCCCGGGCUCAACCUGGGAACUGCAUUGGAAACUGGCGAGCUUGAGUGCGGCAGAGGGGGGUGGAAUUCCGCGUGUAGCAGUGAAAUGCGUAGAGAUGCGGAGGAACACCGAUGGCGAAGGCAGCCCCCUGGGCCGACACUGACGCUCAGGCACGAAAGCGUGGGGAGCAAACAGG
rnacentral:rRNA from 1 species